AGUGAACGCUGGCGGUAGGCCUAACACAUGCAAGUCGAACGGUAGCACAGAGGAGCUUGCUCCUUGGGUGGCGAGUGGCGGACGGGUGAGGAAUACAUCGGAAUCUACUCUGUCGUGGGGGAUAACGUAGGGAAACUUACGCUAAUACCGCAUACGACCUACGGGUGAAAGCAGGGGAUCUUCGGACCUUGCGCGAUUGAAUGAGCCGAUGUCGGAUUAGCUAGUUGGCGGGGUAAAGGCCCACCAAGGCGACGAUCCGUAGCUGGUCUGAGAGGAUGAUCAGCCCACCUGGAACUGGGACACGGUCCAGACUCCUACGGGAGGCAGCAGUGGGGAAUAUUGGACAAUGGGCGCAAGCCUGAUCCAGCCAUACCGCGUGGGUGAAGAAGGCCUUCGGGUUGUAAAGCCCUUUUGUUGGGAAAGAAAUCCAUCUGGUUAAUACCCGGGUGGGAUGACGGUACCCAAAGAAUAAGCACCGGCUAACUUCGUGCCAGCAGCCGCCGUAA
rnacentral:rRNA from 1 species